CAAUAAAAAGUAGAAAGGCUGAUUUUGCAGAAAAUUCCACUCCAGAAAAAGUUGUUUGAGAUUAUGUUUAAGUAUGGCUUAAAGGGUGUGAGCAAUGAUGUGGAGAGAUGCUUGUCACUGUGUGUGGAGGAAAGAAUGCAUGGACUAAUAAGUAACCUGAUUAGAAUGUCAAAACAGGUU